CAGUAGUGUAUAUCAAAAUUGUUGCGGUUAAAAAGCUCGUAGUUGGAUUACAAAAGUCAGGCAUUGGUCAAGUACUAUCUUGGUCAAUGUCGGGCUUUUUUAUCGCAAGAACCAUCCGUGCAUUUAACCGUGUGCGGGUGACCACUUGCGGAGCGUGCCUUGAAUAAAGCACAGUGCUCAAAGCAAGCGUAACGCUCGAAUGUUUAAGCAUGGAACGAAUACCUCUGACAAGGUUCAGUUGUUGGUUAUCUGAGCCGGGUCCUGAUUAAAAGGGACAUUUGAGGGCGUUAGUACUUGGCGGCGAGAGGUGAAAUUCUUAGACCCGUCAAAGACUCACUGAUGCGAAAGCAUUCGCCAAGAAUGUUUNCAUUG
rnacentral:rRNA from 1 species